rnacentral:ncRNA from 1 species
GGGGAUAUGGCGAAAUUGGUAGACGCUACGGACUUAAUUGGAUUGAGCCUUGGUAUGGAAACCCACUAAGUGAUAACUUUCAAAUUCAGAGAAACCCUGGAAUUAAUAAAAGGGGGCAAUCCUGAGCCAAAUCCUGUUUUCCGAAACCAACGGUUCAGAAAGUGAAAAAGGGAUAGGUGCAGAGACUCAACGGAAGCUGUUCUAACAAAUGGAGUUGGCUGCGUUAGUAGAGAAAUCUUUCCAUCGAAAAUUCAGAAAGAAUGAAGUGAAGGAUAAACGUAUAUACAUACGUAUUGAAUACUAUAUCAAAUGAUUCAUGACGACCCGACUGAAUCCGUAUUUUUAUAGAUGAAAAACGGAAGAAUUGGUGUGAAUAGAUUCCACAUUGAAGAAAGAAUCGAAUAUUCAUCGAUCAAACGAUUCACUCCAUGGUCUGAUAGAUCUUUUCAAGAACUGAUUAAUCGGACGAGAAUAAAGAUAGAGUCCCGUUCUACAUGUCAAUGCCGGCAACAAUGAAAUUUAUAGUAAGAGGAAAAUCCGUCGACUUUAAAAAUCGUGAGGGUUCAAGUCCCUCUAUCCCCAA